GUGCAGCAGGCGAGAAUACUGUGCAAUGCGCGAAAGCGCGACACGGGAAGCCUGAGUGCCUUAACUAUGUUAAGGCUUUUCUUGAUCCUAAAAAGCUCAAGGAAUAAGAGCUGGGUAAGACGGGUGCCAGCCGCCGCGGUAACACCCGCGGCUCGAGUGGUAGUCACUUUUAUUGAGCCUAAAGCGUUUGUAGCCGGAUUUGUAAAUCUCUAGGAAAAUACUUCUGCUCAACUGAAGAAAUUUUGGAGAGACUGCAAAUCUAGGGACCGGGUGAGGUUGAAUGUACUUCUGGGGUAGGGGUAAAAUCCUGUAAUCCUGGAAGGACGACCGGUGGCGAAGGCGUUCAACUAGAACGGAUCCGACGGUGAGGAACGAAGGCUAGGGGAGCAAACCGGAUUAGAUACCCCCGUAGUCC
rnacentral:rRNA from 1 species